GACGAACGCUGGCGGCGUGCUUAACACAUGCAAGUCGAACGGUAAGGCCCUUCGGGGUACACGAGUGGCGAACGGGUGAGUAACACGUGGGUGAUCUGCCCUGCACUUCGGGAUAAGCCUGGGAAACUGGGUCUAAUACCGGAUAGGACCACUGCCUGCAUGGGUGGUGGGGGAAAGCUUUGGCGGUGUGGGAUGGGCCCGCGGCCUAUCAGCUUGUUGGUGGGGUGGGGGCCUACCAAGGCGACGACGGGUAGCCGGCCUGAGAGGGUGACCGGCCACACUGGGACUGAGAUACGGCCCAGACUCCUACGGGAGGCAGCAGUGGGGAAUAUUGCACAAUGGGCGCAAGCCUGAUGCAGCGACGCCGCGUGAGGGAUGACGGCCUUCGGGUUGUAAACCUCUUUCAGCACCGACGAAGCGCAAGUGACGGUAGGUGCAGAAGAAGGACCGGCCAACUACGUGCCAGCCGCCGCGGUAA
rnacentral:rRNA from 1 species